GAAGCAAGGGGAAACAGUAUAGUUCACUGUAAUAACCCCCCCAUGUUUGUAAAUCAUGUUAGAUUGGUCGGUACUGAAAUUCAAUUUUCACGCUUUAAGGCUGUUUGCUGAAGUCUAAGCUCAAUUUUUAGACACAGAGAGAAGAUGAAAAUCUAAAAACCCACAGAGAUCUCAUUGUGUUACUGGAGAAGAGAUUUAUUUGAAAGACAAAAAGAUAUGUUGACAUUAUUUCAAAAACAGUUUCCAUUUUUUUAACCCUCUGGCCUUCAUGGGUGGUAACUUCCAAGCCUAACGCUGCACUAGCCCUGGAUUUUUUUAAGCCUAGCCCAGCUGUCACAAGACCAGGACUAUUUCAAAACUGUAUAAACAACAGAAGAUAUCAGGACAACAGUUAUGACCUGACCUGAAGCUUGGGAGAGGAUGGCUAAAGGUGUAAGACACGAUCCAAAGCACAAAAGUAAACCCACAACAUAACAGUCGAACAGCUGUGGCAUAACCUGUAGAGAACCGUUCAGCCACAUGACAUCCCAGACACUCAUAAACUAAAGAGUCUGUAGGGCGGAACUGGUCCCCUGUUCUCCUGAACAGCUACAGGACACACCUGCUGGAGCUUUUCCUGAGGGGGGUCAGAGGGCCGAACAGUACUUACUAUCCUUCCAUCUCCGCUCCCUAUGUCCACCAGGGUUCCCGACCUUGCCCUUAACGCCUUGAGGACGUUUUCCACCUGAGUCGUGGUGGCCGGGACAAACGGGAGGCAGACUUUCCUCAGGGCAGGGGCCACGAACGGAGCAGCCACCGCGUACAGAGCAACCAGCGACCCUCCCACUACCCCUGUUACGACGAGCCCAAUGCGGCUCCUGCCCUUUCUGUCCCUGUUAUCCUCAUUAGGCUGUCCCGAGUCCAGCA